UGUGUGUUUUCAGGAAGGACCAUUUCCUACAGUUUUACAGACGGAGCGAUGGGUUUCACACCGGCGAAUGAGAGAGAGGGGAGGGAUGAAGAGAAAAAAGGUGGAGAGAGAGAGAGAGAGAGAGAGUGAUUCAGUCUGCAGCAGCGGCCGCAGCUCUCCAUCACCCACAGAAUGGAGAGAGUGAAUGAAAGAGAGCGACUGAGGGAGAGAGCCAGUAAAACAGAGAGACUGGGAGAGAGUAAAAGAGAGGUGGAGAGAGGGAUGAGAGAUUGAGAUUGAGAGAGAGAUUAGGAGAGAGUAAAAGAGAGGUGGAGAGAGGGAUGAGAGAUUGAGAUUGAGAGAGAGAGAGAUUAGGAGAGAGUAAAAGAGAGGUGGAGAGAGGGAUGAGAGAUUGAGAGAGACAGAGAGAGUGAUUAGGAGAGAGUAAAAGAGAGGUGGAGAGAGGGAUGAGAGAUUGAGCAGAGAGAGUGAUUAGGAGAGAGUAAAAGAGAGGUGGAUAGAGGGAUGAGAGAUUGAGAGAGAGAGUGAUUAGGAGAGAGUAAAAGAGAGGUGGAGAGAGGG
ensembl:lncRNA